rnacentral:rRNA from 1 species
UACGUAGGGCGCAAGCGUUGUCCGGAAUUAUUGGGCGUAAAGAGCUCGUAGGCGGUUUGUCGCGUCUGCUGUGAAAAACCUAAGGCUCAGCCUUGGGCUUGCAGUGGGUACGGGCAGACUAGAGUGCGGUAGGGGGUGACUGGAAUUCCUGGUGUAGCGGUGGAAUGCGCAGAUAUCAGGAGGAACACCGAUGGCGAAGGCAGGUCACUGGGCCGCAACUGACGCUGAGGAGCGAAAAGCAUGGGGGAGCGAACAGG